AGACGGCUAUACGGUCGCGGGGCGCGAAAGCGCCAUGAGGAAAGUCCGAGCAUCGCAGGGCAGGACGCCUGCUAACGGCAGGUGAAGGCGACUUCAAGGAAAGUGCAACAGAAAUAAACCGCCGCUUUUUUCAGCGGUAAGGAUGGAAAGGCGAGGUAAGAGCUCACCGUCGGGACGGUAACGCCCCGAGCCAUGUAAACCCCGUCCGAUGCAAGAUUGGGAUAUCCCCACACAGGGCUGCCCGUCCGGGGAUAUCCGUGAAUAUCGCUUGAGCCCGCCGGUGACGGCGGGCGUAGAUAGAUGACCGUACACGACAGAACUCGGCUUACAGGCCGUCUCG
rnacentral:RNase_P_RNA from 1 species